UACGGAGGGUGCAAGCGUUAAUCGGAAUUACUGGGCGUAAAGCGUACGUAGGCGGCUUGUUAAGCAAGAUGUGAAAUCCCCGGGCUCAACCUGGGAAUGGCAUUUUGAACUGGGAGGCUCGAGUUCUGAAGAGGGUGGUAGAAUUUCCAGUGUAGCGGUGAAAUGCGUAGAUAUUGGAAGGAAUACCGGUGGCGAAGGCGGCCACCUGGUCAGAAACUGACGCUGAGGUACGAAAGCGUGGGGAGCAAACAGG
rnacentral:rRNA from 1 species